GGCGGAGGAGCAUGUGGUUUAAUUCGAUGAUACGACGAGGAACCUUACCUGGGCUCGAACGUAAGAUGACUGUAGGUGAAAGCUUACAUUCUCUUCGGAGCAUUUUUACGAGGUGCUGCAUGGUUGUCGUCAGCUCGUGCCGUGAGGUGUCGGGUUAAGUCCCAUAACGAGCGCAACCCCUACCUUUAGUUGCCAUCAGGUAAUGCUGGGGACUCUAAAGGAACUGCCUACGCAAGUAGUGAGGAAGGCGGGGAUGACGUCAAAUCAGCACGGCCCUUACGUCCAGGGCUACACACGUGCUACAAUGGCCGAUACAGAGGGCAGCUACCUGGUGACAGGAUGCAAAUCUCCAAAGUCGGUCUCAGUUCGGAUCGGAGUCUGCAACCCGACUCCGUGAAGUUGGAUUCGCUAGUAAUCGCGCAUCAGCCAUGGCGCGGUGAAUACGUUCCCGGGCCUU
rnacentral:rRNA from 1 species